AUUGAACGCUGGCGGCAGGCCUAACACAUGCAAGUCGAACAAGUGGCGGACGGGUGAGUAAUGUCUGGGAAACUGCCCGAUGGAGGGGGAUAACUACUGGAAACGGUAGCUAAUACCGCAUACCAUCGGAUGUGCCCAGAUGGGAUUAGCUAGUAGGUGGGGUAACGGCUCACCUAGGCGACGAUCCCUAUCUGGUCUGAGAGGAUGACCAGGCACACUGGAACGGAGAGACGGUCCAGACUCCUACGGGAGGCAGCAGUGGGUAAUAUUGCACAAUGGGGUCAAGCCUGAUGCAGCCAUGCCGCGUGUAUGAAGAAGGCCUUCGGGUUGUAAAGUACUUUCAGCGAGGAGUCGUUUCUCGCAGCAGAAGCACCGGCUAACUCCAUGCCAGCAGCCGCGGUAAUUC
rnacentral:rRNA from 1 species